rnacentral:rRNA from 1 species
AAAUGAAUAGACGGGGGUCCGCACAAGCGGUGGAACAUGUGGUUUAAUUCGACACUACGCGAGGAACCUUACCUGGGCUUGACAUGUAAUUGUUACUGAUGGAAACAUUGGGUCUUAUGGGAAACCAUAAGCUGUUACACAGGUGCUGCAUGGCUGUCGUCAGCUCGUGUCGUGAGAUGUUGGGUUAAGUCCUUUAACGAGCGCAACCCUUGCCGUUAGUUGCUAUCGCGAAAGCGAGCACUCUAGCGGGACUGCCUGGGAAACCAGGAGGAAGGUGGGGAUGACGUCAAGUCCGCAUGGCCCUUAUGUCCAGGGCUACACACGUGUUACAAUGGUGAGUACAAACGGAAGCAAGGCCGCGAGGUGGAGCAAACCUGAUAAAACUCAUCUAAGUUCGGAUCGAAGUCUGCAACCCGACUUCGUGAAGUUGAAAUCGCUAGUAAUCGCGCAUCAGAACGGCGCGGUGAAUACGUUCUCGGACCUUGUACACACCGCCCGU